AUUGGAGAGUUUGAUCCUGGCUCAGGACGAACGCUGGCGGCGUGCCUAAUACAUGCAAGUCGAGCGGAGCUUAUCCUUCGGGGUAAGCUUAGCGGCGGACGGGUGAGUAACACGUAGGCAACCUACCCUCUAGACUGGGAUAACUACCGGAAACGGUAGCUAAUACCGGAUAAUUCCUUGACCCUCCUGGGUUUGGGAUGAAAGGCGGAGCAAUCUGCUACUAAAGGAUGGGCCUGCGGCGCAUUAGCUAGUUGGUGGGGUAACGGCCUACCAAGGCGACGAUGCGUAGCCGACCUGAGAGGGUGAACGGCCACACUGGGAC
rnacentral:rRNA from 1 species